rnacentral:tRNA from 2 species
GCCGGGAUGGCGGAACUGGUAGACGCGCCAGACUCAAAAUCUGGUAUCCGAAAGGAUGUGGGGGUUCGAUUCCCCCUCCCGGUACCA